rfam:Schistosoma mansoni strain Puerto Rico chromosome 3, complete genome
AUCUAGCUGACGAGUCCCAAAUAGGACGAAACGCGCGUCGUGGAU